rnacentral:rRNA from 1 species
AGUGACCUAAAGUUAAACGGCCGCGGAACCCUAACCGUGCAAAGGUAGCAUAAUCACUUGCCUAUUAAUUGUAGGCUAGAAUGAACGGAUGAACGAAAUAAAAACUGUCUCAAUUAGCAAACUAAAAAUUAACAUAUGCAUGAAGAGUUGCAAAUAAAGUCGAAGGACAAGAAGACCCUAUAGAGCUUUAUUUUUAACAUAGAAUAGUACUGUGCAUAAAAUUCGGUUGGGGCGACCAAGGACAUGAUAGCUAACACCCUACACAAAAAUGAUAAAUGAAUCUAAUAAACUGACCCUUACAAAAGACCAUAAGAACAAGCUACCUUAGGGAUAACAGGCUAAUCCUAUUUUAGAGUCCAUAUCUACAAUAGGGAUUGGCACCUCGAUGUUGGCUUAGGGUAUCAAUAUAGCGCAAAAGUUAUAUAAAGAUGGUUUGUUCAACCAGUAAUCC